AAUAGAUACCCUGGUAGUCCACGCCGUAAACUAUGGAUGCUAGCUGUUAGAAGUAUCGACCCUUCUAGUAGCGAAGCUAACGCGUUAAGCAUCCCGCCUGUGGAGUACGAGCGCAAGCUUAAAACAUAAAGGAAUUGACGGGGACCCGCACAAGCGGUGGAGCGUGUUGUUUAAUUCGAUGAUAAGCGAAGAACCUUACCCAGGCUUGACAUCCUUGGAAUUUUGCCGAAAGGCGAGAGUGCUUUUAGAGCCAAGUGACAGGUGAUGCAUGGCCGUCGUCAGCUCGUGUCGUGAGAUGUUUGGUUAAGUCCAUCAACGAACGCAACCCUUGUAGUUAGUUGUAUUUUUCUAGCUAGACUGCCCUGGUAACAGGGAGGAAGGAGGGGAUGAUGUCAGGUCAGUAUUCCCUUACGUCUGGGGCUACAAACACGCUACAAUGGCCGGUACAAAGCGCAGCCAACCCGCGAGGGGGAGCAAAUCGCAUCAAAGCCGGUCUCAGUUCGGAUUGCAGGCUGAAACUCG
rnacentral:rRNA from 1 species